UGAGGAAUAUUGGUCAAUGGUCGGGAGACUGAACCAGCCAAGCCGCGUGAGGGAAGAAGGCCCUAUGGGUCGUAAACCUCUUUUGUCAGGGAACAAAAGCGAGUAUGUAUACUAGUCUGAGUGUACCUGAAGAAAAAGGCAUCGGCUAACUCCGUGCCAGCAGCCGCGGUAAUACGGAGGAUGCGAGCGUUAUCCGGAUUUAUUGGGUUUAAAGGGUGCGUAGGCGGCGGUGCAAGUCAGCGGUAAAAGCCCGGGGCUCAACCCCGGCGAGCCGUUGAAACUGCAGUGCUAGAGAAGGCGAGAGGUACGCGGAAUGCGCAGUGUAGCGGUGAAAUGCUUAGAUAUUGCGCAGAACUCCGAUUGCGAAGGCAGCGUACUGGCGCCUGACUGACGCUGAGGCACGAAAGCGUGGGGAUCGAACAGGAUUAGAUACC
rnacentral:rRNA from 1 species